CGUCGCCGCGGGAAAACAGAGGGUGCAAGCGUUAAUCGGAAUUACUGGGCGUAAAGCGCGCGUAGGUGGUUUGUUAAGUUGGAUGUGAAAUCCCCGGGCUCAACCUGGGAACUGCAUCCAAAACUGGCAAGCUAGAGUAUGGUAGAGGGUGGUGGAAUUUCCUGUGUAGCGGUGAAAUGCGUAGAUAUAGGAAGGAACACCAGUGGCGAAGGCGACCACCUGGACUGAUACUGACACUGAGGUGCGAAAGCGUGGGGAGCAAACAGGAUUAGAGACCCGAGUAGUCCCUGUCUCUUAUACA
rnacentral:rRNA from 1 species